rnacentral:rRNA from 1 species
AGAGUAGGCGGGAUUGCAAGUCCGUUGUUAAAUCUAUCGGCUUAACCGGUAGCUGCGGCGGAAACUGUAGUUCUUGAGUGAAGUAGAGGCAGGCGGAAUUCCUAGUGUAGCGGUGAAAUGCGUAGAUAUUAGGAGGAACACCAGUUGCGAAGGCGGCUCUCUGGACUGUAACUGGCACUGAGGCACGAAAGCGUGGGGAGCAAACA